rnacentral:rRNA from 1 species
UACAGAGGGGGCAAGCGUUAUUCGGAAUUAUUGGGCGUAAAGGGCGCGUAGGCGGCCUUGCAGGUGACGGGUGAAAUCCCUCGGCUUAACCGAGGAACUGCCUGUCAAACUGCGUGGCUUGAGACCAGGAGAGGUGAGUGGAAUUCCCAGUGUAGCGGUGAAAUGCGUAGAUAUUGGGAGGAACACCAGUGGCGAAGGCGGCUCACUGGACUGGUACUGACGCUGAUGCGCGAAAGCGUGGGGAGCAAACAGG